rnacentral:rRNA from 1 species
UAGAGUUUGAUCUUGGCUCAGAGUGAACGCUGGCGGCAGGCCUAUACAUGCAAGUCGAACGGCAGCACAGCAGAGCUUGCUCUGUGGGUGGCGAGUGGCGGACGGGUGAGGAAUACAUGGGAAUCUGCCCAGUCGUGGGGGAUAACGUAGGGAAACUUACGCUAAUACCGCAUGCGCCCUUCGGGGGAAAGCCGGGGACCGUAAGGCCUGGCGCGAUUGGAUGAGCCCAUGUCGGAUUAGCUAGUUGGCGGGGUAAUGGCCCACCAAGGCGACGAUCCGUAGCUGGUCUGAGAGGAUGAUCAGCCACACUGGAACUGAGACACGGUCCAGACUCCUACGGGAGGCAGCAGUAGGGAAUAUUGGACAAUGGGCGCAAGCCUGAUCCAGCCAUGCCGCGUGAGUGAAGAAGGCCCUCGGGUUGUAAAGCUCUUUUGUCCGGAAAGAAAAGCGCGGGGUUAAUACCCCCGUGUCCUGACGGUACCGGAAGAAUAAGCACCGGCUAACUUCGUGCCAGCAGCCGCGGUAAUACGAAGGGUGCAAGCGUUACUCGGAAUUACUGGGCGUAAAGCGUGCGUAGGUGGUUCGUUAAGUCUGAUGUGAAAGCCCUGGGCUCAACCUGGGAAUGGCAUUGGAUACUGGCGGGCUAGAGUGCGGUAGAGGGCAGUGGAAUUCCCGGUGUAGCAGCGAAAUGCGUAGAGAUCGGGAGGAACAUCUGUGGCGAAGGCGACUGCCUGGACCAGCACUGACACUGAGGCACGAAAGCGUGGGGAGCAAACAGGAUUAGAUACCCUGGUAGUCCACGCCCUAAACGAUGCGAACUGGAUGUUGGGUGCAACUUGGCACUCAGUAUCGAAGCUAACGCGUUAAGUUCGCCGCCUGGGGAGUACGGUCGCAAGACUGAAACUCAAACGAAUUGACGG